AGCGAACGCUGGCGGCAUGCUUAACACAUGCAAGUCGCGCGGGCAGCUUCGGCUGCCUGCGGCGGACGGGUGCGGAACGCGUAGGAACGUGUCCGGAGGUGGGGGACAACCCUGUGGUACCGGGGCUCAUACCGCAUAUUGCCCUCGGGCCACAGCCGAACGGCGCCUCCGGGGCGGCCUUCGUCCGAUUUUGUAGUUGUCAGUGUAACGGCCAACCAUGCCCGCGAUCGGUAGCCGGUAUGAGAGGACGGUCGGCCACACUGGCACUGAGACACGGCCCAGAAUACUACGGGAGGCAGCAGAGGGGAAUAUUGGGAAAUGGGCGGAAGCCUGAAGCAGCAAGGCCGCGUGGGUGAAGAAGGUGUUAGGAUUGUAAAGCCGUUUCGGCGGGGACGAUGGUGACGGUACCAGCAGAAGAAGCCCCGGCCAACUUCGUG
rnacentral:rRNA from 1 species